rnacentral:rRNA from 1 species
AAUCAACGCUGGCGGCGUGCCUCAGACAUGCAAGUCGAACGAUUAAACUUUCCUUCGGGGAAGAUAUAGAGUGGCGCACGGGUGAGUAACACGUAAGUAAUCUACCCUUGGGUGGGGAAUAACAUCGGGAAACCGAUGCUAAUACCGCAUAAUGCAGCGGCUUCUUAUGAAGACAGUUGUUAAAGCAUUUAUGUGCCUGAGGAGGAGCUUGCGGCAGAUUAGCUAGUUGGUAAGGUAAUGGCUUACCAAGGCGACGAUCUGUAGCCGACCUGAGAGGGUGGUCGGUCACACUGACACUGAAUAACGGGUCAGUCUCCUACGGGAGGCAGCAGUCGGGAAGUUUUGGGCAAUGGGCGCAAGCCUGACCCAGCAACGCCGCGUGAAGGAUGAAGUAUUUCGGUACGUAAACUUACGUAAAAUAGGAA